GCUGGAUCUUCAGGAUUAGAGGCUGGACCCUCUCUGUUUCUACAAGAAAUAUUGCCCUGGUAAGUAUAAAACAAAUAUCUAUGUUGGCUAAAGUAGACUACUUUCUAACUGCUGUAAAGGAAAUAAUAGAAGAAAAAAGGCUGGCUGAUGGAGAGGGCUUUUCCUGUCCUUUCUGCUGGGAGGUGCAGAGCUAACCCAUAUAUUAUUGCUGCCAUGUUUGAUCAACCCAAC